rnacentral:rRNA from 1 species
UACGUAGGGAGCAAGCGUUGUCCGGAAUCAUUGGGCGUAAAGCGCGCGUAGGUGGCCUCGUAAGUCCGCUGUGAAAGUCAAAGGCUCAACCUUUGAAAGCCGGUGGAUACUGUGGGGCUAGAGUACGGAAGAGGCGAGUGGGAUUCCUGGUGUAGCGGUGGAAUGCGCAGAUAUCAGGAGGAACACCAAUAGCGAAGGCAGCUCGCUGGGACGUAACUGACACUGAGGCGCGAAAGCGUGGGGAGCGAACAGG